rnacentral:misc_RNA from 1 species
AAGUCGUAACAAGGUUUCCGUAGGUGAACCUGCGGAAGGAUCAUUAACACGUAUCCACGUUAUCAACAAUUACCACGAACUGUGCUCCCUGCUGACUAAGUGAUUGUAGUUGUAAUCCGUUCUUGGUGGGUCGUCUCUUCGGAGAAGGCUGGCCGGCAUCAGCUGUCGUUCCUCGCAAGAGAGAGCGAGUCAAUCGAAUUUUCAGUAGGCUUACUAACUCUUACUUCGCGUGGAGCAAUCCAAUCCCUACCACCAUAGGGCCGGAGUAAGGACCCCAUACCAAUUUCACCCUAUUUUACCUAUUUGACUAAUUAUAUAUUCAUUUGGAGAAACCCUUAUGAAUUCUAAGAUUUAUCUUAACUAAGCACAACUCUUAGCAAUGGAUAUCUUGGUUCUC